rnacentral:rRNA from 1 species
GUGCCAGACUCCUACGGGAGGCAGCAGUGAGGAAUAUUGGUCAAUGGUCGGGAGGCUGAACCAGCCAAGUAGCGUGAGGGAAGACUGCCCUAUGGGUUGUAAACCUCUUUUAUGCGGGGAUAAAGGUGUCCACGUGUGGAUGUUUGCAGGUACCGCAUGAAUAAGGACCGGCUAAUUCCGUGCCAGCAGCCGCGGUAAUACGGAAGGUCCGAGCGUUAUCCGGAUUUAUUGGGUUUAAAGGGUGCGUAGGCGGAAUAUCAAGUCAGCGGUAAAAAUUCGGGGCUCAACCCCGUCGUGCCGUUGAAACUGAUGUUCUUGAGUGGGCGAGAAGUAUGCGGAAUGCGUGGUGUAGCGGUGAAAUGCAUAGAUAUCACGCAGAACUCCGAUUGCGAAGGCAGCAUACCGGCGCCCAACUGACGCUGAAGCACGAAAGCGUGGGUAUCGAACAGGAUUAGAUACCCCCGUAC